rnacentral:rRNA from 1 species
CGAAAGGGUGACGAAGCGACGCCGCGUGUGGGAAGAAGGCCUUCGGGUUGUAAACCACUGUUGGGAGUUAGGAAGUGUGGAGGUGUUAAUAGCGCUUUCACUUGACUAAAGCUCCAGAGGAAGCCACGGCUAACUCUGUGCCAGCAGCCGCGGUAAUACAGAGGUGGCAAGCGUUGUUCGGAAUUAUUGGGCGUAAAGAGCACGUAGGCGGUUCUGCAAGUCGGCUGUGAAAGCCUUCCGCUCAACGGAAGAACAGCAGUUGAUACUACAGGACUAGAGUGCGGGAGGGGAGAGUGGAACUUCUGGUGGAGCGGUGAAAUGCGUAGAUAUCAGAAGGAACGCCGGCGGCGAAAGCGACUCUCUGGCCCGUAACUGACGCUGAGUGUGCGAAAGCUAGGGGAGCAAACGGGAUUAGAUACCCCGGUAGUCCUAGCCGU